rnacentral:rRNA from 1 species
UUCCGGUUGAUCCUGCCGGACCUUACUGCUAUCGGGGUGGGACUAAGACAUGCGAGUCGAGCGUCUCUAGCUAUGUUGAGACGCGGCAGACGGCUCAGUAACACGUGGCUAACCUACCCUCAGGACGAGGACAAACCCGGGAAACUGGGGCUAAUACUCGAUAGGUGAGUAUGUCUGGAAUGAUUUCUCACUCAAAGGGCUUUAGAAACAUGCUUCUAAAGUCGCCUGGGGAUGGGGCCGCGUCCGAUCAGGUUGUUGGUGAGGUAAUGGCUCACCAAGCCUAUAACCGGUACGGGCCGUGAGAGCGGUAGCCCGGAGAUGGGUACUGAGACAAGGACCCAGGCCCCACGGGGCGCAGCAGUCGCGAAAACUCCGCAAUGCACGAAAGUGUGACGGGGCUACCCCGAGUGCCAUCCGCUGAGGAUGGCUUUUCCUUGGUAUAACUAGCCGAGGGAAUAAGGAGAGGGCAAGACUGGUGUCAGCCGCCGCGGUAAUACCAGCUCUCCGAGUGGUAGGGAUGAUUAUUGGGCUUAAAGCGUCCGUAGCCGGCUUAGCAAGUCUCCUGUUAAAUUCAGCGACCUAAUCGUUGAGCCGCGGGAGAUACUACUAGGCUAGGAGGCGGGAGAGGUCGACGGUACUUCUGGGGUAGGGGUGAAAUCCUAUAAUCCCGGGAGGACCACCAGUGGCGAAGGCUGUCGACUAGAACGCGCUCGACGGUGAGGGACGAAAGCUGGGGGAGCGAACCGGAUUGGAUACCCGGGUAGUCCCAGCCGUAAACGAUGCGGGCUAGGUGUUGGGGUGGCUACGUGCCACUUCAGUGCCGCAGGGAAGCCAUUAAGCCCGCCGCCUGGGGAGUACGGCCGCAAGCUGAAACUUAAGACUGGCGGGGGGAGCACCCACAAGGCGUGAAGCUGCG